UACGAAGGGUGCAAGCGUUACUCGGAAUUACUGGGCGUAAAGCGUGCGUAGGUGGUCGUUUAAGUCUGUUGUGAAAGCCCUGGGCUCAACCUGGGAACUGCAGUGGAAACUGGACGACUAGAGUGUGGUAGAGGGUAGCGGAAUUCCCGGUGUAGCAGUGAAAUGCGUAGAGAUCGGGGAGGAACAUCCAUGGCGAAGGCAGCUACCUGGACCAACACUGACACUGAGGCACGAAAGCGUGGGGAGCAAACAGG
rnacentral:rRNA from 1 species